UGCAUGGUAGGAGAGCGUUCUGUAAGCCUGCGAAGGUGCGUUGAAAAGCGUGCUGGAGGUAUCAGAAGUGCGAAUGCUGACAUGAGUAGCGAUAAAGGGGGUGAAAGGCCCCCUCGCCGUAAGCCCAAGGUUUCCUACGCAACGUUCAUCGGCGUAGGGUGAGUCGGCCCCUAAGGCGAGGCAGAAAUGCGUAGCUGAUGGGAAGCAGGUCAAUAUUCCUGCACCAUUGUUGAAUGCGAUGGGGGGACGGAUCGCGGAAGGUUGUCCGGGUGUUGGAAGUCCCGGUCCUUGCAUUGGAGAAGGCGCUUUGGCAAAUCCGGGCGCGGAAUUCAAGGGUGCGAGGCCAUGCUCUUCGGAGCAGAAGCAACUGGAAGUGGUUCCAAGAAAAGCCUCUAAGCUUCAGUUCAACAGUGACCGUACCGCAAACCGACACAGGUGGGCGAGAUGAGUAUUCUAAGGCGCUUGAGAGAACUCGGGAGAAGGAACUCGGCAAAUUGGUACCGUAACUUCGGGAUAAGGUACGCCCUUGUAGCUUGACUGGCUCGCGCCAGAAGGGUGAAGGGGUUGCAAUAAACUGGUGGCUGCGACUGUUUAAUAAAAACACAGCACUCUGCAAACACGAAAGUGGACGUAUAGGGUGUGACGCCUGCCCGGUGCCGGAAGAUUAAAUGAUGGGGUGCAAGCUCUUGAUUGAAGUCCCGGUAAACGGCGGCCGUAACUAUAACGGUCCUAAGGUAGCGAAAUUCCUUGUCGGGUAAGUUCCGACCUGCACGAAUGGCGUAACGAUGGCCACACUGUCUCCUCCCGAGACUCAGCGAAGUUGAAGUGUUUGUGAUGAUGCAAUCUCCCCGCGGCUAGACGGAAAGACCCCAUGAACCUUUACUGUAGCUUUGCAUUGGACUUUGAACCGGUUUGUGUAGGAUAGGUGGGAGGCUGUGAAGCGGGAACGCUAGUUUCCGUGGAGCCGUCCUUGAAAUACCACCCUGAUCUGUUUGAGGUUCUAACCUUGGUCCGUGAUCCGGAUCGGGGACAGUGCAUGGUAGGCAGUUUGACUGGGGCGGUCUCCUCCCAAAGGGUAACGGAGGAGUACGAAGGUACGCUAGGUACGGUCGGAAAUCGUGCUGAUAGUGCAAUGGCAUAAGCGUGCUUGACUGCGAGACUGACAAGUCGAGCAGGUGCGAAAGCAGGUCAUAGUGAUCCGGUGGUUCUGUAUGGAAGGGCCAUCGCUCAACGGAUAAAAGGUACUCUGGGGAUAACAGGCUGAUACCGCCCAAGAGUUCAUAUCGACGGCGGUGUUUGGCACCUCGAUGUCGGCUCAUCUCAUCCUGGGGCUGUAGCCGGUCCCAAGGGUAUGGCUGUUCGCCAUUUAAAGAGGUACGUGAGCUGGGUUUAAAACGUCGUGAGACAGUUUGGUCCCUAUCUGCCGUGGGCGCUGGAAGUUUGAGGGGGCCUGCUCCUAGUACGAGAGGACCGGAGUGGACGAACCUCUGGUGUACCGGUUGUCACGCCAGUGGCAUCGCCGGGUAGCUAUGUUCGGAAGAGAUAACCGCUGAAAGCAUCUAAGCGGGAAACUCGCCUCAAGAUGAGACUUCCCCGGGGCUUCGAGCCCCUUGAAGGGUCGUUCAAGACCAGGACGUUGAUAGGUCAGGUGUGGAAGCGCAGUAAUGCGUUAAGCUAACUGAUACUAAUUGCCCGUAAGGCUUGAUCCU
rnacentral:rRNA from 1 species